rnacentral:rRNA from 1 species
CAAUAGCGUAUAUUAAAGUUGUUGCGGUUAAAAAGCUCGUAGUUGGAUUUCUGCUGAGGACGAUCGGUCCGCCCACUGGAUGAGUAUCUGGCUCGGCCUUGGCAUCUUCUUGGAGAACGUUGCUGCACUUGACUGUGUGGUGCGGUAUCCAGGACUUUUACUUUGAGGAAAUUAGAGUGUUCCAAGCAGGCGCACGCCUUGAAUACAUUAGCAUGGAAUAAUAAGAUAGGACCUUGGUUCUAUUUUGUUGGUUUCUAGAGCUGAGGUAAUGAUUAAUAGGGAUAGUUGGGGGCAUUCGUAUUUAACUGUCAGAGGUGAAAUUCUUGGAUUUGUUAAAGACGGACUACUGCGAAGGCAUUUGCCAAGGAUGUUUUCAUUGAU